UUUGAAAUCUGGUACCUUUGGUACCCGAGUUGUAAUUUGAAGAUUGUUUCCCCUGGUCAGACUUUGGUUUAUGUUCCUUGGAAUAGGACAUCAUAGAGGGUGAGAAUCCCGUAUGACCUUAGAACCUGAUCGUUGUGGGAGGCUUUCGAAGAGUCGAGUUGUUUGGGAAUGCAGCUCUAAGUGGGUGGUAAAUUCCAUCUAAAGCUAAAUAUUGGCGAGAGACCGAUAGCGAACAAGUACAGUGAUGGAAAGAUGAAAAGAACUCUGAAGAGAGAGUGAAAAAGUACGUGAAAUUGCUGAAAGGGAAGGGCUUGAGGUCAGACUUGGUGUUUAAUACUUCUAUUCCCUUCGUGGGGGUACUACUUGUUUUUCACCGGGCUAAUGUCAGUUUCUGCGGCAGAUUGCCCUUGGUAAUGUAGCUUGUCUUCGGAGAAGAACAUAUAGGCCUUGGAUUUUUGAUCUGCUUGUGGAGACUGAGGACUGCGCAAUUUUAUUGCUAGGACAUUGGCGUAAUGACCUUAAGCCGCCCGUCUUGAAACACGGACCAAGGAGUCUAACGUCUAUGCGAGUGUUUGGGUGUUAAACCCGUACGCGUAAUGAAAGUGAACGUAGGUUGGGGCCUUCGGGUGCACAAUCGACCGAUCCUGAUGUUUUCAGAUGGAUUUGAGUAAGAGCAUAGCUGUUGGGACCCGAAAGAUGGUGAACUAUGCCUGAAUAGGGUGAAGCCAGAGGAAACUCUGGUGGAGGCUCGUAGCGGUUCUGACGUGCAAAUCGAUCGUCAAAUUUGGGUAUAGGGGCGAAAGACUAAUCGAACC
rnacentral:rRNA from 1 species